GAUGAACGCUAGCGGCAGGCUUAAUACAUGCAAGUCGAGGGGCAGCAGGACUGUAGCAAUACAGUUGCUGGCGACCGGCAAACGGGUGCGGAACACGUACGCAACCUUCCUUUAAGUGAGGGAUAGCCCAGGGAAACUUGGAUUAAUACCUCGUAAUAUUUGAGAGUGGCAUCACUUUCUAAUUAUAGCUCCGGCGCUUAAAGAUGGGCGUGCGACUGAUUAGGUAGUUGGCGGGGUAACGGCCCACCAAGCCUGCGAUCAGUAACUGGUGUGAGAGCACGACCAGUCACACGGGCACUGAGACACGGGCCCGACUCCUACGGGAGGCAGCAGUAAGGAAUAUUGGUCAAUGGACGCAAGUCUGAACCAGCCAUGUCGCGUGGAGGAUGAAGGUCCUCUGGAUUGUAAACUUCUUUUAUCUGGGAAGAAACCCAUAUUUUCUAGUGUGGUUGACGGUACCAGAUGAAUAAGCACCGGCUAACUCCGUGCCAGCCGCCGCAGUAACAC
rnacentral:rRNA from 1 species